CAGCAGCCGCGGGAACACGUAGGGUGCAAGCGUUAAUCGGAAUUACUGGGCGUAAAGCGUGCGCAGGCGGUUAUAUAAGACAGAUGUGAAAUCCCCGGGCUCAACCUGGGAACUGCAUUUGUGACUGUAUAGCUAGAGUACGGCAGAGGGGGAUGGAAUUCCGCGUGUAGCAGUGAAAUGCGUAGAUAUGCGGAGGAACACCGAUGGCGAAGGCAAUCCCCUGGGCCUGUACUGACGCUCAUGCACGAAAGCGUGGGGAGCAAACAGGAUUAGAUACCCGAGUAGUCCCUGUCUCUUAUAC
rnacentral:rRNA from 1 species